AUUGAACGCUGGCGGCAGGCUUAACACAUGCAAGUCGAGCGGAGACUUCGGUCUUAGCGGCGAACGGGUGAGUAAUACCUAGGAAUCUGCCUAUUAGUGGGGGAUAACGAAUCGAAAGGUUCGCUAAUACCGCAUAAGACCUGAGGGUGAAAGCGGGGGACCGUAAGGCCUCGCGCUACCGGAGCGGCCGAUGUCAGAUUAGCUAGUUGGUGGGGUAAAAGCCUACCAAGGCGACGAUCUGUAGCUGGUCUGAGAGGACGACCAGCCACAUUGGGACUGAGACACGGCCCAGACUCCUACGGGAGGCAGCAGUGGGGAAUUUUGGACAAUGGGCGCAAGCCUGAUCCAGCCAUGCCGCGUGCGGGAAGAAGGCCU
rnacentral:rRNA from 1 species